rnacentral:rRNA from 1 species
AAGGUUCGUCCGCUCCAGGUUAGUCGGGAGCUAAGGUGAGGCCUAACGGCGUAGCCGAUGCACAGACGGUAGAGAUUCCGUCACCACCAAAAGAGUUAAGCACAGGGACACAUUUGAAGUCUCGGAGCCGGGUGUUGGUUCCGGUAGCGAUCGAGGGAAGUUAGUACCGAAGUCCGGGAUGGAAGAUGGCGAGAAAAGCUGUGUGUAUUUCUGCGGUGCCCGUACCGCAAACCGACACAGGUAGGUAGGAAGAAGAUUCUAAGGCCAACGGGAGAAGGGUUGUUAAGGAACUCGGCAAAUUGACCCCGUAACUUCGGGAGAAGGGGUGCUCCAGAGAUGGAGCCGCAGAGAAUCGGCCCAAGCAACUGUUUACCAAAAACACAGGUUUGUGCUAAAUCGAAAGAUGACGUAUACGAGCUGACGCCUGCCCGGUGCUGGAAGGUUAAGAGGAGAUGUGCAAGCAUUGAAUCGAAGCCCCAGUGAACGGCGGCCGUAACAUUAACGGUCCUAAGGUAGCGAAAUUCCUUGUCAGGUAAGUUCUGACCCGCAUGAAAGGCGUAAUGAUUUGGGCACUGUCUCGACAGCCCGCCCGGCGAAAUUGUAGUACCGGUGAAGAUGCCGGUUACCCGCGACAAGACGGAAAGACCCCAUGGAGCUUUACUGUAGCCUAAUAUUGGGUUUCGAUGUUGCAUGCACAGGAUAGAUGGGACACUGGGAAACAAGUGCUUUGGCAUUUGUGGAGUGGCCGUUGGGAUACCAUCCUUGCGAUAUUGGAAUUCUAACCUGCGCCUUUGAAUCAAGGCGGGGGACAUUGUUAGGUGGGCAGUUUGACUGGGGCGGUCGCCUCCUAAAGAGUAACGGAGGCGUUCAAAGGUUCGCUCAGCUUGAACGGAAAUCAAGCAAAAGAGUGCAAACGCAGAAGCGAGCCUAACUGCGAGACUGACGGGUCGAGCAGUAACGAAAGUUGGAGUUAGUGAUCCGGUGGUAUGUGAGUGGAAAUGCCAUCGCUCAACGGAUAAAAGUUACCCUGGGGAUAACAGGCUGAUCUCCCCCAAGAGUCCACAUCGACGGGGAGGUUUGGCACCUCGAUGUCGGCUCAUCGCAUCCUGGGGCUGUAUUCGGUCCCAAGGGUUUGGCUGUUCGCCAAUUAAAGCGGUACGCGAGCUGGGUUCAGAACGUCGUGAGACAGUUCGGUCCCUAUCUGUCGUGGGCGCAGGAUAUUUGAUGGGAGCUGUUCCUAGUACGAGAGGACCGGAGCGGACGUACCUCUGGCGCACCAGUUGUUCUGCCAAGGGCAUAGCUGGGCAACUAUGUACGGAUCGGAUAAACGCUGAAAGCAUCUAAGCGUGAAGCCGACCCAAAGAUAAGAUAUCCCAUUGUUUCAAACAAGUAAGACCCCUUGAAGACUACAAGGUUGAUAGGCAUGAUGUGUAAGUGGAGUGAUCCAUUCAGCAAGCGUGUACUAAUAGGUCGAGGGCUUGACC